rfam:Schistosoma mansoni, Puerto Rico, WGS project CABG01000000 data, contig: 0097
AUCCAUCCGAUGAGUCCUAAAUAGAACGAAACACACAUCUUGGAU